rnacentral:rRNA from 1 species
CAUGGUGGGGGUGGAAAGCUUUAUUGUGCUUUUGGAUGGACUCGCGGCCUAUCAGCUUGUUGGUGAGGUAAUGGCUCACCAAGGCGACGACGGGUAGCCGGCCUGAGAGGGUGACCGGCCACACUGGGACUGAGACACGGCCCAGACUCCUACGGGAGGCAGCAGUGGGGAAUAUUGCACAAUGGGCGAAAGCCUGAUGCAGCGACGCCGCGUGAGGGAUGACGGCCUUCGGGUUGUAAACCUCUUUCAGUAGGGAAGAAGCGAAAGUGACGGUACCUGCAGAAGAAGCGCCGGCUAACUACGUGCCAGCAGCCGCGGUAAUACGUAGGGCGCAAGCGUUAUCCGGAAUUAUUGGGCGUAAAGAGCUCGUAGGCGGUUUGUCGCGUCUGCCGUGAAAGUCCGGGGCUCAACUCCGGAUCUGCGGUGGGUACGGGCAGACUAGAGUGAUGUAGGGGAGACUGGAAUUCCUGGUGUAGCGGUGAAAUGCGCAGAUAUCAGGAGGAACACCGAUGGCGAAGGCAGGUCUCUGGGCAUUAACUGACGCUGAGGAGCGAAAGCAUGGGGAGCGAACAGGAUUAGAUACCCUGGUAGUCCAUGCCGUAAACGUUGGGCACUAGGUGUGGGGGACAUUCCACGUUUUCCGUACCGUAGCUAACGCAUUAAGUGCCCCGCCUGGGGAGUACGGCCGCAAGGCUAAAACUCAAAGGAAUUGACGGGGGCCCGCACAAGCGGCGGAGCAUGCGGAUUAAUUCGAUGCAACGCGAAGAACCUUACCAAGGCUUGACAUGAACCGGUAAUACCUGGAAACAGGUGCCCCGCUUGCGGUCGGUUUACAGGUGGUGCAUGGUUGUCGUCAGCUCGUGUCGUGAGAUGUUGGGUUAAGUCCCGCAACGAGCGCAACCCUCGUUCUAUGUUGCCAGCGCGUAAUGGCGGGGACUCAUAGGAGACUGCCGGGGUCAACUCGGAGGAAGGUGGGGACGACGUCAAAUCAUCAUGCCCCUUAUGUCUUGGGCUUCACGCAUGCUACAAUGGCCGGUACAAAGGGUUGCGAUACUGUGAGGUGGAGCUAAUCCCAAAAAGCCGGUCUCAGUUCGGAUUGGGGUCUGCAACUCGACCCCAUGAAGUCGGAGUCGCUAGUAAUCGCAGAUCAGCAACGCUGCGGUGAAUACGUUCCCGGGCCUUGUACACACCGCCCGUCAAGUCACGAAAGUUGGUAACACCCGAAGCCGGUGGCCUAACCCCUUGUGGGAGGGAGCUGUCGAAGGUGGGACUGGCGAUUGGGACUAAGUCGUAACAAGGUAGCCGUACCGGAAGGUGCGGCUGGAUCACCUCCUUUCU